AUGGUGGCGCCUUCCACGCCCGCGCCCAAGCCCAUCGACCUCAACGCCAUACCGGUGGCCGGUGGCUCGUCAUCCGAAGGCGCGAGGAAACACGCAAGAGGAAGAGACGAGUGCGACAGCGAAGUGGAGCCUUUGUUCGAGGACAAGCUCACCAACCAAGCCGCCGGUCCGAAGCCGAAGUGCAAGAGCAAGCACACGAAGGCAUACACGGCGGCCGAGGACAAGCUUCUUUGCGAGUGUUGGUGAGACAUUGGACAAGACCCCAAGAUGGGCGCCGAACAAAAACAUUCAACCUUUUGGAUUCGUGUCCACCGGGAGUUUCAUGAGCGCAAGAAGUUUCCGCCUUACCAAAUUGUGAGCACGCGCGGGUGGGUGUCCAUUUCGAAGCGAUGGAGGGUGAUCCAACAAGAGUGCAACAAGUUUUGUGCCACUCUUCAGAGCGUCAAGGCCCGCCCCGCCGCAUGCAAGACAUGGUAUGCUAGCAAGCCGCCCUCUUUUGUGUCAUGA
rnacentral:rRNA from 1 species